GCCGGCGUAGCUCAGCUGGUUAGAGCGACUGUCUUGUAAACAGUAGGUCAAGGGUUCGAAUCCCUUCGCCGGCUCCC
rnacentral:tRNA from 1 species